AUUGAACGCUGGCGGCAUGCCUUACACAUGCAAGUCGAACGGCAGCACGGGAGCAAUCCUGGUGGCGAGUGGCGAACGGGUGAGUAAUGUAUCGGAACGUGCCCAGUCGUGGGGGAUAACGUAGCGAAAGCUACGCUAAUACCGCAUACGAUCUGUGGAUGAAAGCGGGGGACCGUAAGGCCUCGCGCGAUUGGAGCGGCCGAUAUCAGAUUAGGUAGUUGGUGGGGUAAAGGCCUACCAAGCCGACGAUCUGUAGCUGGUCUGAGAGGACGACCAGCCACACUGGGACUGGGACACGGCCCAGACUCCUACGGGAGGCAGCAGUGGGGAAUUUUGGACAAUGGGCGCAAGCCUGAUCCAGCAAUGCCGCGUGCAGGAUGAAUGCCUUCGGGUUGUAAACUGCUUUUGUACGGAGCGAAAAGGCUCUCUCUAAUACAGGGGGCUCAUGACGGUACCGUAAGAAUAAGCACCGGCUAACUACGUGCCAGCAGCCGCCGUAA
rnacentral:rRNA from 1 species